rnacentral:rRNA from 1 species
ACUCAAAUGAAUUGACGGGGGCCCGCACAAGCGGUGGAGCAUGUGGUUUAAUUCGAUGCAACGCGAAGAACCUUACCUGGUCUUGACAUCCACAGAACUUUCCAGAGAUGGAUUGGUGCCUUCGGGAACUGUGAGACAGGUGCUGCAUGGCUGUCGUCAGCUCGUGUUGUGAAAUGUUGGGUUAAGUCCCGCAACGAGCGCAACCCUUAUCCUUUGUUGCCAGCGGUCCGGCCGGGAACUCAAAGGAGACUGCCA